GCAAACCAGGAAAUUAACAUUCUGUCCCAAAUAUGAAGACAUGGGGUUUGAAAUAAUUCCUAUAGUGCUUGACAGGAUACAUAUGUUCCUGCAUAAAAUAUAAAGGCCCACACACCAGCAAUUAAAUGUUUCAAAUAAUGGCUGUAUUCACCUAAACUCAUGCUUAAUUUAAAAUUAUCAUUGGGAAAAUAAAAUUUUAGAAUUAUAGUUACUGUUCCUUUUUAUUUGGAUAAAUUUUCUUUAACAUUAAUAUUAUAAGGUAGUUUAAGUAAAUCUGUGCAUGUUUCAGGAGGGUCACACUUGGACAUUUCAGCAGCGGAAGUGGAGGAGAGAUUCCAUGGAACUGGAUUUAGUCAGCAACAGUGUGACUCUGAGCAACAUGCAGAGGUGUGUGCUUUUUGUGGACAUGCAGAAGAUAUGGGACCACACACUUCACAUAAAAGAGCAACAAGAAACUUGAUGGUAGUGAAACGAGGCGAC